rnacentral:lncRNA from 1 species
AAUUUUGUGCUCAAUCUCUCAGUACCAGGGUGAAAGUGGAGACGCAAUCUCCCUUGGAAGACGUUAGUCUCCAUCUCUAACGCUCCAGAGACACGGUUCGCAAU